UUCACACGCCUCCCUCAACUCUCUCCCUCUCUCCCACACGCCUCCCUCCCCUCCUUCUCCCUCUCAAGUGCUCCAAAUCGGUUCUUCACAAAUUCGUCAUCGUUGCUUUGAUUUGGAGUUGGAAACUCAAAGAUCCGUUGAAGAAUCAAACCACUCGUCGUUUCUACCGAUUGUUUUUCAAGGGAAAGGGUUAUUGGGCGUACGUGAGUACGAAGAAGCAAGGGUUGCAAUAAAGUUGUGAACUGUGAGCUUUCUUUUACUGAAACUCUUUUACUCUUUCAAAAGUAUGAUUAUGGUGUAAUAAGGGUGAUUUAAAUUGUGAUGCCAUGCCAUGUUUGUUUGAUGAUGAGAUUGUUGCCUAAUGCCUAGAUUGUGUAACACCCGUACCUUAAUUAAGAAGUUAAUUUUCAUGUAACGGAAUAAUUGAUAAAAUUAUUUCGAAAUGUUAUGCUUCCCGAUAAUUGUGUUAUGGAAAAAUUAUGGUUUAUGUGUUGAUGUGAAAA